rnacentral:rRNA from 1 species
UACGUAGGGUGCAAGCAUUAAUCGGAAUUACUGGGCGUAAAGCGUGCGCAGGCGGUGAUGUAAGGCAGAUGUGAAAUCCCCGGGCUCAACCUGGGAACUGCAUUUGUGACUGCAUCGCUGGAGUACGGCAGAGGGGGAUGGAAUUCCGCGUGUAGCAGUGAAAUGUGUAGAUAUGCGGAGGAACACCGAUGGCGAAGGCAAUCCCCUGGGCCUGUACUGACGCUCAUGCACGAAAGCGUGGGGAGCAAACAGG